UUACGUUAGCGUCUUAGCUGCUAACGUUAGCAGCGAAGACGCUACGUUAGCGUUUUAGCUCGACGAGCAGAGGGGAACUACUAUCCCAGUUAUCCAACAGGGCAAUCCCAAGAGAGUCUAGAGGAGGAGAGGCUGGCACUACUGGCUGAGGUGACAAAAAGCAACAGCAACAAGUGGUGAAGGAGAAAAUGGAGAGGACGUUCGCCUCCAGGCGGCAUGAGGUGGUCAAAGACACGCCGUUCAUCUCAGAGUUUAAUAGAAGGAGGCCAGCUCUCUUCUCACAGCGUGAGGUGGAGGCAGAGUUUACUCGCUGAGAUCUAAGUUCAUGCAGCAGCUGGUACACCACUCCUCCAGGCUGACGGCAGUUUUUCAAAAGAAAGGAGGAGCUGCAGGACAAAAAAUUAAAAAUAUCAUGGAAGAUUUAGACAAGAAUGAAAGUGUUGAAACAAGAAGAAGCUGCAUCCUCAGAGCACUGAUUCAACGAAGACCCUGAAAAUCUACUAAGGGAGUACCUUGAUGUUGAAGACAACCAUGAGGCCAUGGGAGCAGACAGUCCUGGGACUCUUCACCGUAAAGAAAGAAGGUGGCGAACCAACAGAUGACCUGGAAGAUGUUGGGAUCAUCAUAGAAGGGGGGUGGAGGUGCUGAGGUGCUUCAUGACCUCGGUGACAUUUGCAAAUGCAGUGGACAUUUUAUUUGGCCUCAUGUACUCACUGGACUUGAGCUACCCAACAAACCUGAGGCACACAUUUGAGGUUCUGCAAAAACGUGUUUUCCUGAUGGUUGUGGUAUUAAAAGGUAAUGUUGAACAUUUUCUAUGCAGCACUGUUAGAGAUUGCCAACUGAGUGAAUGGUACCAUUUUUGUUUGGUUAAACAUUGUUAAGAUUGAUGUCUGAAGGUGGAAGAUGUUGACUGACAUUGUCUUGAACCCUGACAGUUCACCAGUUGUCUGUUUUAUUGGCAAUAAAUUGGAUUUUUCAAAGAAA